UAGCGUUGCUCGGAAUCACUGGGCGUAAAGCGCACGUAGGCGGAUUGCUAAGUCAGGGGUGAAAUCCUGGAGCUCAACUCCAGAACUGCCUUUGAUACUGGCGAUCUCGAGUCCGGGAGAGGUGAGUGGAACUGCGAGUGUAGAGGUGAAAUUCGUAGAUAUUCGCAAGAACACCAGUGGCGAAGGCGGCUCACUGGCCCGGUACUGACGCUGAGGUGCGAAAGCGUGGGGAGCAAACAGG
rnacentral:rRNA from 1 species